UGCCAGCCGCCGCGGUAAUACGAAGGGUGCGAGCGUUAAUCGGAAUUAUUGGGCGUAAAGCGCACGUAGGCGGUCCGUUAAGUCGGAUGUGAAAGCCCUGGGCUCAACCCAGGAAGUGCAUCCGAAACUGACAGACUAGAAUCUCAAAGAGGGCUGCGGAAUUCCCGGUGUAGAGGUGAAAUUCGUAGAUAUCGGGAGGAACACCAGUGGCGAAGGCGGCAGCCUGGGUGAUGAUUGACGCUGAGGUGCGAAAGCGUGGGGAGCAAACAGGAUUAGAUA
rnacentral:rRNA from 1 species